CUAGUAAAAUUAGCUUGGUACUUAGUAAUAAAACAAAAUCAGUAGAAAAAUAAGUUUAAACCCUACUAUUUUGUUUAUAUUAUGUCUUCCAUAGUUAUAGCUGUGAAUAAACGACUGACAAUUUGAGAGCACUUUGUAUCAUGCUUAUCUAGCAGAAUCUUUUCAAAGAGAUGAUAUAGACUUGUCAUUCCUUUAGGAUACACCAUAUCAAAAACAAAAAAAGCAGAAAGCAUGGUGAAUUGAAACUUGUAUCUUUUGCUGCAACAGUGGGACUUAAACUAACCUAGUUUUAAAUUAAAAUGAUUGAUUUAUUGUAAUAAUAAGAGUUUAAUUUUGUGGUCAGGAACAAGAAAAGGUAAUAGCUUCAAAAGUCCAGCUGUAACUUUAU